AGCGGGGGGGGAAGAACAAAGGGGAUUGCCCUAGUAACGGCGAGUGAAGCGGCAACAGCUCAAAUUUGAAAUCUGGCUCUUUUAGAGUCCGAGUUGUAAUUUGCAGAGGGCGCUUUGGCUUUGGCAGCGGUCCAAGUUCCUUGGAACAGGACGUCACAGAGGGUGAGAAUCCCGUACGUGGUCGCUGGCUAUUGCCGUGUAAAGCCCCUUCGACGAGUCGAGUUGUUUGGGAAUGCAGCUCUAAAUGGGAGGUACAUUUCUUCUAAAGCUAAAUAUUGGCCAGAGACCGAUAGCGCACAAGUAGAGUGAUCGAAAGAUGAAAAGCACUUUGGAAAGAGAGUCAAACAGCACGUGAAAUUGUUGAAAGGGAAGCGCUUGCAGCCAGACUUGCUUACAGUUGCUCAUCCGGGUUUCUACCCGGUGCACUCUUCUGUAGGCAGGCCAGCAUCAGUUUGGGCGGUAGGAUAAAGGUCUCUGUCACGUACCUCCUUUCGGGGAGGCCUUAUAGGGGAGACGACAUACUACCAGCCUGGACUGAGGUCCGCGCAUCUGCUAGGAUGCUGGCGUAAUGGCUGUAAGCGGCCCGUCUUGAAACACGGACCAAGGAGUCUAACAUCUAUGCGAGUGUUUGGGUGUCAAGCCCGAGCGCGUAAUGAAAGUGAACGGAGGUGGGAACCCGCAAGGGUGCACCAUCGACCGAUCCUGAUGUCUUCGGAAGGAUUUGAGUAAGAGCAUGGCUGUUGGGACCCGAAAGAUGGUGAACUAUGCUUGAAUAGGGUGAAGCCAGAGGAAACUCUGGUGGAGGCUCGCAGCGGUUCUGACGUGCAAAUCGAUCGUCAAAUUUGGGCAUAGGGGCGAAAGACUAAUCGAACUAUCUAGUAGCUGGUUCCUGCCGAAGUUUCCCUCAGGAUAGCAGUAACACGAA
rnacentral:rRNA from 1 species